UAGCAAUGAAAGGGUGGCAUUAAACAGC
rnacentral:piRNA from 1 species